CGUUCCCAUCCCGAACACGGUAGUUAAGCUUCUCUGCGCCAAUGGUAGUUGGGGGCUUCCCCCUGCGAGAGUAGGUCGCUGCCGGGC
rnacentral:rRNA from 1 species